UACAGAGGGGGCAAGCGUUGUUCGGAAUUACUGGGCGUAAAGGGCGCGUAGGCGGCCUGUUAAGUCGAACGUGAAAUCCCCGGGCUCAACCCGGGAACUGCGUCCGAUACUGGCAGGCUUGAAUCCGAGAGAGGGAUGCGGAAUUCCAGGUGUAGCGGUGAAAUGCGUAGAUAUCUGGAGGAACACCGGUGGCGAAGGCGGCAUCCUGGACCGGCAUUGACGCUGAGGCGCGAAAGCCAGGGGAGCAAACAGG
rnacentral:rRNA from 1 species